CAUUAAGUCUGUUAAAAAUAAAGUAAAAUGGAAUGUAAGAGUUCUACCUUAAAUUCCUAUGCACAUUGGUCCCUCCUACCUGUAGGAUAAGCUUUACCCAAAAAGGAAAAAAAAAGACUAGCUUCUGUCUAGAACAUAUUAGGGACCCGACAUACUCAAAUCUCCUUGUAACAGUUAAAUAUCUGAAGCAGUCCUGCCCUU